UACGAAGGGGGCUAGCGUUGCUCGGAAUUACUGGGCGUAAAGCGCGCGUAGGCGGAUCGUUAAGUCGGGGGUGAAAUCCUGGAGCUCAACUCCAGAACUGCCUUUGAUACUGGCGAUCUUGAGUACCGGAGGGGAGAGUGGAAUUCCUGGUGUAGCGGUGAAAUGCGCAGAUAUCAGGAAGAACACCCGUGGCGAAGGCGGCUCUCUGGGACGGUACUGACGCUGAGACGCGAAAGCGUGGGGAGCGAACAGG
rnacentral:rRNA from 1 species